rnacentral:misc_RNA from 1 species
UUAAGUUCAGCGGGUAGUCCUACCUGAUUUGAGAUCAAACAUUCAAGAAGUUGUCCUCGCUAUGGAGAGACGUUUAUGAGCUCCAGUGAACCUCCAUUGCUGAAGGAUGCCUAGCAGGGAACCACGAGCGUAGAUAGUUAUCACACCUGUGGUGCCGCCAAACACUGGCAAGCUGAUUCAUUUGAGAGGAGCCGACCGCU